UACAGAGGUCUCAAGCGUUGUUCGGAUUCAUUGGGCGUAAAGGGUGCGUAGGCGGCGCGGUAAGUCGGGUGUGAAAUCUCGGAGCUUAACUCCGAAACUGCAUUCGAUACUGGCGUGCUUGAGGACUGGAGAGGAGACUGGAAUUCAUGGUGUAGCAGUGAAAUGCGUAGAGAUCAUGAGGAAGACCAGUGGCGAAGGCGAGUCUCUGGACAGUUCCUGACACUGAGACACGAAGGCCAGGGGAGCAAACGGG
rnacentral:rRNA from 1 species